rnacentral:rRNA from 1 species
AACGAACGCUGGCGGCAGGCUUAACACAUGCAAGUCGAGCGCAUACUUCGGGGUGAGCGGCGGACGGGUGAGUAACGCGUGGGAACGCGCCCUCUUCUACGGAAUAGUCUCGGGAAACUGAGAGUAAGGCUGUAUACGCCCGCAAGGGGAAAGAUUUAUCGGAGGAGGAUCCGCCCGCGGUGGAGUAGGUGGGUGGUGGGGUAACGGCCUACCAAGCCGACGAUGCAUAGCUGCUUUGAGCGGAUGAUCAGCCACACUGAGGCGGAGACACGGCCCCGACUCUUACAGGAGGCAGCAGUGGGGGAUCUUGGACAGUGGCGGGAACCAUGAACCAGCCAUGCCGUGUGAUCGAUGAAGGCCGUAACGAUGUAACUAUCCUUAAUCUGGGAAGAUAAUGACGGUACCAUCAGAAGAAGCCCCGGCUAACUCCGUG